AUUACCGAGUGAGGGCCCUCUGGGUCCAACCUCCCACCCGUGUUUAUUUUACCUUGUUGCUUCGGCGGGCCCGCCUUAACUGGCCGCCGGGGGGCUUACGCCCCCGGGCCCGCGCCCGCCGAAGACACCCUCGAACUCUGUCUGAAGAUUGUAGUCUGAGUGAAAAUAUAAAUUAUUUAAAACUUUCAACAACGGAUCUCUUGGUUCCGGCAUCGAUGAAGAACGCAGCGAAAUGCGAUACGUAAUGUGAAUUGCAAAUUCAGUGAAUCAUCGAGUCUUUGAACGCACAUUGCGCCCCCUGGUAUUCCGGGGGGCAUGCCUGUCCGAGCGUCAUUGCUGCCCUCAAGCACGGCUUGUGUGUUGGGCCCCGUCCUCCGAUCCCGGGGGACGGGCCCGAAAGGCAGCGGCGGCACCGCGUCCGGUCCUCGAGCGUAUGGGGCUUUGUCACCCGCUCUGUAGGCCCGGCCGGCGCUUGCCGAUCAACCCAAAUUUUUAUCCAGGUUGACCUCGGAUCAGGUAGGGAUACCCGCUGAACUUAAGCAUAUCAAUAAGCGGAGGAAAAGAAACCAACAGGGAUUGCCCCAGUAACGGCGAGUGAAGCGGCAAGAGCUCAAAUUUGAAAGCUGGCUCCUUCGGGGUCCGCAUUGUAAUUUGUAGAGGAUGCUUCGGGAGCGGUCCCCAUCUAAGUGCCCUGGAACGGGACGUCAUAGAGGGUGAGAAUCCCGUAUGGG
rnacentral:rRNA from 1 species